rnacentral:misc_RNA from 1 species
GAUGAAGAACGUAGCGAAAUGCGAUAAGUAAUGUGAAUUGCAGAAUCCAGUGAAUCAUCGAAUCUUUGAACGCACAUUGCGCCCGCCAGCAUUCUGGCGGGCAUGCCUGUUCGAGCGUCAUUUCAACCCUCGACCUCCCUUUGGGGAAGUCGGCGUUGGGGACCGGCAGCGCACCGCCGGCCCUGAAAUGGAGUGGCGGCCCGUCCGCGGCGACCUCUGCGUAGUAAACCAACUCGCACCGGAACCCCGACGUGGCCACGCCGUAAAACACCCAACUUCUGAACGUUGACCUCGAACCAGGUAGGACUACCCGCUGAACUUAAGCAUAUCAAUAAGCGGAGGA